rnacentral:rRNA from 1 species
GACCUCAAAUCAGGUAGGGCUACCCGCUGAACUUAAGCAUAUCAAUAAGCGGAGGAAAAGAAACUAACAAGGAUUCCCCUAGUAGCGGCGAGCGAACCGGGAUGAGCUCAAAUUUGAAAUCUGGCUCCCUCCGGGUGUCCGAGUUGUAAUCUACAGAAGCGUUUUCCGUGCCGGACCGUGUCCAAGUCCCUUGGAACAGGGUAUCAAAGAGGGUGACAAUCCCGUACUUAACACGACGACCGGUGCUCUGUGAUACGCUCUCUACGAGUCGAGUUGUUUGGGAAUGCAGCUCAAAAUGGGUGGUAAAUUCCAUCUAAAGCUAAAUAUUGGCAGAGACCGAUAGCGAACAAGUACCGUGAGGGAAAGAUGAAAAGCAC